rnacentral:rRNA from 1 species
UACAGAGGUCUCAAGCGUUGUUCGGAUUUAUUGGGCGUAAAGAGCUCGUAGGCGGUUGGGUAAGUCGGGUGUGAAAACUCCAGGCUCAACUUGGAGACGCCACCCGAUACUGCUCUGACUUGAGUUCGGUAGGGGAGUGGGGAAUUCCUGGUGUAGCGGUGAAAUGCGCAGAUAUCAGGAGGAACACCGGUGGCGAAGGCGCCACUCUGGGCCGAAACUGACGCUGAGGGAGCGAAAGCGUGGGUAGCAAACAGG